rnacentral:misc_RNA from 1 species
GAGAAAUUGAUGAUAUAGGUAGUGAGACCGGGACGGAGUUUUUGCCUGAUUUUGGUGGAGUUGAAUUCGGUGGUGUCAAGUUUGGGGAUGUUGAGGAAAUGUCAGAGUCUUGUGUAGAAGAAAAAGAAGAAAAUGAGACGGUUGAAGGUGAAAAGACGGAUGGAAUUGUUGGAGUAGAAGUUAGUAAAGCAGGAGAGCAGAAGAGUAGUGUGGUGUGGUGGAAGGCACCAUUGGAUAUUCUCAAGUGUUGUGCGUUCAGGAUUAGGCCUGUGUGGGAGUAGCUGCUCUGUGAUGGGGUUCGUGAUAUUAGGUCAUAGAUUGUAUAAGAUGAAGAAGAAGACUAAGGGGUUGGAGCUCAAAGUUGCUGUCGAUGAUAAGAAGGUGUCUCAAUUCAUGAGUCGUGCUGCACGUCUUAAUGAAGCAUUUUCUGUUGUGAAGCGGGUUCCCGUGAUUCAGCCUCAGCUGUCAGCAGCUGGAGUUUCAGCAUGGCCUGUCGUGAGUUUGAGAUAGGGAGCGUAAUGUUUGUAAAGCAAAAUAUGAAUGUUAUGUAUAGUGGAAGAAGCAUGGUGUCCAUUUGAUAUGUGGCUGUGUUUUUUCUUUGCUAAUUUGUGUGUUCU